CUCCAACCUAUCAGAGCUCUUGCAGCAUGAACUGACAUGAUGUCCACCCAAUCGGAGGAUCAGAGAAUUAAUCUAGUACUGAAAGUAUAAGCUACAACUAGCUAGAACCACAGUGCAUAAAAUGUGGUGAGUAGUUGCCUCAAAGACAGAGAAAGACAAUGGUUUAACAGUUUUGAACAAAUUCAUUCAUUCCAAAAUUAAGGAGAAGCGAGAGAGAGAGAUAUAUAUAUAUAUAUUUUUCCUCUUACUUUCACUUAGCUAGUGAAUGCAGCUAGCUAGUGAAUGCAGCUAGCUAGUUUAGCCUACUCAAACACGUGGCUCAAACAGAGAGGGAUGCCAUGUUAGCUAGCUGGCUAUGGUUAUCCAACACUGGAACUUUUCUAAGUCAAGGUUAAUGACGACAUACAAGUCUCUGAGUCUGAGUGGUGAUGGUGUAUGCCCAGACUGGGGUGCAACAGUACCCUGAGUAGGCACUCUGGCUGGUUCAGGAUAGUGUCUGGAAUGCACGAACAAAACGCCGCUAUUUGGAUAUAACGAUGGAUUAUUUGGGACCAAACCAACAUUUGUUAUUGAAGUAGAAGUCCUGGGAGUGCAUUCUGACGAAGACAACAAAGGACUUGAGCCCUAGGACCAUGCCUCAGGACUACCUGGCUUGAUGACUCCUUGCUGUCCCCAGUUCACCUGGCCGUGCUGCUGCUCCAGUUCCAACUGUUCUGCCUGCAGCUAUGGAACCCUGACCUGUUCGCCGGACGUGCUACCUGUCCCAGACCUGUUGUCCCAGACCUGCUGGAACCCUGACCUAUUCACCGGACGUGCUACCUGUCCCAGACCUGCUGUUUUCAACUCUCUAGAGACAGCAGGAGCGGUAGAGAUACUCUCAAAGAUCGGCUAUGAAAAAGCCAACUGACACUUACUCUUGUGUUACUGACUUGUUGCACCCUCGACAACUACUAUGAUUAUUAUUAUUUGACAAUGCUGGUCAUUUAUGAACAUUUGAACAUCUAGGCUAUGUGCUGUUAUAAUCUCCACCCGGCACAGCCAGAAGAGGACUGGCCACCCCUCAUAGCCUGGUUCCUCUCUAGGUUUCUUCCUAGGUUUUGGCCUUUCUAGGGAGUUUUUCCUAGCCACCGUGCUUCUACACCUGCAUUGCUUGCUGUUUGGGGUUUUAGGCUGGGUUUCUGUACAGCACUUUGUGAUAUCAGCUGAUGUAAGAAGGGCUAUAUAAAUACAUUUGAUUUGAUUUGAUUUGAAUACAUGUUAGAAUCACUUUGUAACGAUCGUCUGGAAGAGGGGACCAAGAUGCAGCGUGGUAAGUGGUCAUAAUGAUUUUUAAUGAUACACUUCAAAAAAUAAACUGGGAAAAUGAAAGCCAACAGUUCUGUCGGUGCAAACCACACAACAGAAACAAUCACCCACAAAACCCAAAGGAAAAAUAGGCUACUUAUGUGUGACUCCCAAUCAGCAACAAUGAACUUCAGCUGUGCCUGAUUGGGAGCCACACACGGCCCAAAACAAAGAAAUACAAAAACAUAGAAAAUAUAACACCCUGGCCUAACCAAAAAUAAAGAACAAAAACCCCUCUCUAUGGCCAGCGCAUUACAGUACCCCCCCACCAAAGGUGCGGACUCUGGCCGCAAAACCUGACUCUGAAGGGGAGGUUCCGGGUGGGCCUUCUUACGGCGGCGGCUCAGGUGCAGGACGUGGCCUCCACUCCACC
rnacentral:lncRNA from 1 species